CCUCUGCUCUCCAAAAAUCUGGUAGUCCAGUCUUCAUCACCAUGAAAACUACCAUGAAUGCUUGAUCUUUAUUUGAGAAUAGAAUAAAAUAAUUUCAAUCUAUUCUCAAAUAACUUUUUUUCUAUUAUUUUAUAUCAUUAUGUAAAAAAAAUCCCAAUCAACAGUUAGAAAUAUAGAAAGGAGAGGUUCAGUUGAUAAUAUAAUAUAUCAGGGAUACCUAGUCCUUAU
rnacentral:lncRNA from 1 species